rnacentral:rRNA from 1 species
AGGCCUUGCGCUCUUUGAGCGGCCGAUAUCAGAUUAGCUAGUUGGUGGGGUAAAAGCUCACCAAGGCGACGAUCUGAGAGAUGAUCCGCCACACUGGAACUGAGACACGGUCCAGACUCCUACGGGAGGCAGCAGCGGGGAAUUUUGGACAAUGGGGGCAACCCUGAUCCAGCCAUGCCGCGUGAGUGAAUAAGGCCUUCGGGUUGUAAAGCUCUUUCGGCCGGGAAGAAAUCGUAUCAGCUAAUACCUGGUGCGGAUGACGGUACCGGCAUAAGAAGCACCGGCUAACUACGUGCCAGCAGCCGCGGUAAUACGUAGGGUGCGAGCGUUAAUCGGAAUUACUGGGCGUAAAGCGUGCGCAGGCGGUUUUGUAAGACAGGCGUGAAAUCCCCGGGCUCAACCUGGGAACUGCGUUUGUGACUGCAAGGCUAGAGUACGGCAGAGGGGGGUGGAAUUCCACGUGUAGCAGUGAAAUGCGUAGAGAUGUGGAGGAACACCAAUGGCGAAGGCAGCCCCCUGGGUCGAUACUGACGCUCAUGCACGAAAGCGUGGGUAGCAAACAGGAUUAGAUACCCUGGUAGUCCACGCCCUAAACGAUGUCAACUAGGUGUUGGGAGGGUAAAACCUUUUAGUACCGGAGCUAACGCGUGAAGUUGACCGCCUGGGGAGUACGGCCGCAAGGUUAAAACUCAAAGGAAUUGACGGGGACCCGCACAAGCGGUGGAUGAUGUGGAUUAAUUCGAUGCAACGCGAAAAACCUUACCUACCCUUGACAUGUCAGGAACUUUCCAGAGAUGGAUUGGUGCUCGAAAGAGAACCUGAACACAGGUGCUGCAUGGCUGUCGUCAGCUCGUGUCGUGAGAUGUUGGGUUAAGUCCCGCAACGAGCGCAACCCUUGUCGUUAAUUGCCAUCAUUUAGUUGGGCACUUUAACGAGACUGCCGGUGACAAACCGGAGGAAGGUGGGGAUGACGUCAAGUCCUCAUGGCCCUUAUGGGUAGGGCUUCACACGUCAUACAAUGGUCGGUACAAAGGGUCGCCAAGCCGCGAGGUGGAGCUAAUCCCAGAAAGCCGAUCGUAGUCCGGAUUGCAGGCUGCAACUCGCCUGCAUGAAGUCGGAAUCGCUAGUAAUCGUGGAUCAGCAUGUCACGGUGAAUACGUUCCCGGGUCUUGUACACACCGCCCGUCACACCAUGGGAGCGGGUUCCGCCAGAAGUAGGUAGCCUAACCGCAAGGAGGGCGCUACCACGGCGGGGUUCGUGACUGGGGUGAAGUCGUAACAAGGUA